GACGAACUCUGGCGGCGUGCUUAACACAUGCAAGUCGAACGAUGAAGCCGGAGCUUGCUCCGGUGGAUUAGUGGCGAACGGGUGAGUAACACGUGAGCAAUCUGCCCUUGACUCUGGGAUAACUGCGGGAAACUGUAGCUAAUACCGGAUACGACACCUUGGGGCAUCCCAGGGUGUGGAAAGAAUUUCGGUCAAGGAUGAGCUCGCGGCCUAUCAGCUAGUUGGUGAGGUAAUGGCUCACCAAGGCGACGACGGGUAGCCGGCCUGAGAGGGUGACCGGCCACACUGGAACUGAGACACGGUCCAGACUCCUACGGGAGGCAGCAGUGGGGAAUAUUGCACAAUGGGCGAAAGCCUGAUGCAGCAAUGCCGCGUGAGGGAUGAAGGCCUUCGGGUUGUAAACCUCUUUUAGCAGGGAAGAAGCGAAAGUGACGGUACCUGCAGAAAAAGCACCGGCUAACUACGUGCCAGCCGCCGCGGUAA
rnacentral:rRNA from 1 species